UUUACUUCUCUAGUCAUAGGACUUCCAUUCAGCCAGCUUUUAGGCGGUUCUGGAUGAUGGUUGUUCUGUGUUUUAGUUGUAAU
rnacentral:pre_miRNA from 1 species